UGUGAGCAGGGGCAAGCUGGGUGCUCAUUCAUGGCAUCUUAUCUGUUGCAGAUAGUCCACUGUGUGCAGAGGCAUGGGAGUUGUCAUGUCGAUAACAUGCUAGACCUCAGUGUCCUUGAGGGAUGCCGCCUUGGGUCUGGAGACUGUUAGAGGAAACCCCAAGAGGUGCAAGCACUGAGCCUCUCAGGACAAUGACCUGGGAUUCCACCUCCCCUGGAGGGGCCUCCUCAUGAUUGUUUGGGGGUUGAUCACAGACCAAGAGUGAUGAGUGAUGUCACCCUGUGAUGCAUGGCUGGACCUUCUUGCCCCUAUUGUCUCAGCACAACAUUAAUCGACUUUUCCCUCAGCGUGGGUGGGCAGAGGAAAAGCCCUGUGGCUCUGGGGACUUGGGAUCCAGAGUUGAAGACCCUUCAGCUGGCUCUGCCCUGCCAGUGCCACAGAGUGCCAUGGCCCAGGAAGACUGGUUUUCUUCCAUCUAGGCCAGGCCAUCCAGUGGCCAUCCUUCGUGUCCUCCCACCUCCUUCUGGUGUGACUUCUGAAAACCAAGAAUUUGUUCCUGUUGACUUUUUCUGUGCUAUGGACCAUUGUCCUCUGACCCACUCAAUAAAUCUUGAAACAUGC
rnacentral:lncRNA from 1 species